rnacentral:rRNA from 1 species
GACGAACGCUGGCGGCGUGCCUAAUACAUGCAAGUAGAACGCACGGUUUAUACCGUAGCUUGCUACACCAUAGACUGUGAGUUGCGAACGGGUGAGUAACGCGUAGGUAACCUGCCUGGUAGCGGGGGAUAACUAUUGGAAACGAUAGCUAAUACCGCAUAAUAUUAAUUAUUGCAUGAUAAUUAAUUUAAAGGUGCAAUUGCACCACUACCAGAUGGACCUGCGUUGUAUUAGCUAGUAGGUGAGGUAACGGCUCACCUAGGCGACGAUACAUAGCCGACAUGAGAGGGGGAUCGGCCACACUGGGACUGGGACACGGCCCAGACGCCUACGGGAGGCAGCAGUAGGGAAUAGUCGGCAAUGGACGAAAGUCGGACCGAGCAACGCCGCGUGAGUGAAGAAGGGUUUCGGAUCGUAAAGAUCUGUUGUAAGAGAAGAACGGGUGUGAGAGUGGAAAGUUCACACUGUGACGGUAUCUUACCAGAAAGGGACGGCUAACUACGUG